rnacentral:rRNA from 1 species
UACAGAGGGUGCAAACGUUGUUCGGAAUUACUGGGCGUAAAGCGCGUGUAGGCGGCUAUGCAAGUCGGAUGUGAAAGCCCUCGGCUCAACCGGGGAAGUGCACCCGAAACUGCAAAGCUAGAGUCUCGGAGAGGAUCGUGGAAUUCUCGGUGUAGAGGUGAAAUUCGUAGAUAUCGAGAGGAACACCCGUGGCGAAGGCGGCUCUCUGGGACGGUACUGACGCUGAGACGCGAAAGCGUGGGGAGCGAACAGG